GCGCUCGCGCGCCGUGUCGCACCCUUCGGGUGCUGGCGCUCCGCGAGGGCGCGGCACGAGCCGCGACGGCCUGUCGGCCUUGCGAGGCUCUGCCUCGAUGCCGGCUACCAUCUGCGCUUGGGGCUUAGGGCUUGUAGCUCAGUUGGUUAGAGCGCGCGCUUGAUAAGCGUGAGGUCGGAGGUUCAAGUCCUCCCAGGCCCACCAUCUCUGAUGGAAGCUAGGUAGCUUCCUGUCUCCUCUACAAAGGUAUCAGGGGCCGUAGCUCAGCUGGGAGAGCGCCUGCUUUGCAAGCAGGAUGUCGUCGGUUCGAUCCCGUCCGGCUCCACCAUUACCUUUGGUGUCGAGUAGAGAUGAGGCGUCAGAAAAAGUCAUUCGUAAAAAGGUUUUGUGGUGAGCAUCUAGCUUGCCGCUUGUUCUGUUUGACAUUGUAAAGAGAAGAUUUGUUCGAACUUCAUGAGCUUGAAAAGGUUUGUGAUUUGUCGCGGGAGACGCUCAAUCUCCCGCAUAUGAUGGGCUUGCCUAACCGCACCCUCGAACCGAUCUCGAGAAGCUGGUCUUUUUGUGCCAAU
rnacentral:tRNA from 1 species